rnacentral:tRNA from 1 species
GGAAGGAUGACCGAGUGGUUAAGGUGUGUGACUCAAGCGGAUUCUGCUUUCUUGCUUACAAAGCGAGGUUUCUCAUGGGCCUAGCCCGCGGGGGUUCGAAUCCCCCUCCUUUCA